rnacentral:rRNA from 1 species
UACGGGGGGAGCAAGCGUUGUUCGGAUUUACUGGGCGUAAAGGGCGCGUAGGCGGUCAGCACAAGUCAAUUGUGAAAUCUCCGAGCUUAACUCGGAAAGGUCAACUGAAACUGUGCGACUAGAGUGCGGAAGGGGCAACUGGAAUUCUUGGUGUAGCGGUGAAAUGCGUAGAUAUCAAGAGGAACACCUGCGGCGAAGGCGGGUUGCUGGGCCGACACUGACGCUGAAGCGCAAAAGCCAGGGGAGCGAACGGG